CAGUAGCCGCGGUAAUACGAAGGGUGCAAGCGUUAAUCGGAAUUACUGAGCGUAAAGCGUGCGUAGGCGGUGAGUUAAGUCUGCUGUGAAAUCCCCGGGCUCAACCUGGGAAUGGCAGUGGAUACUGGCUCGCUAGAGUGUGUCAGAGGAUGGUGGAAUUCCCGGUGUAGCGGUGAAAUGCGUAGAGAUCGGGAGGAACAUCAGUGGCGAAGGCGGCCAUCUGGGACAACACUGACGCUGAGGCACGAAAGCGUGGGGAGCAAACAGGAUUAGAUACCCCCGUAGUCCCUGUCUCUUAUAC
rnacentral:rRNA from 1 species